rnacentral:rRNA from 1 species
CGGCGGACGGGUAGUAACACGUGGAUAACCUACCUAUAAGACUGGGAUAACUUCGGGAAACCGGAGCUAAUACCGGAUAAUAUAUUGAACCGCAUGGUUCAAUAGUGAAAGACGGUUUUGCUGUCACUUAUAGAUGGAUCCGCGCCGCAUUAGCUAGUUGGUAAGGUAACGGCUUACCAAGGCAACGAUGCGUAGCCGACCUGAGAGGGUGAUCGGCCACACUGGAACUGAUACACGGUCCAGACUCCUACGGGAGGCAGCAGCU